AGAGUUUGAUCGUGGCUCAGAUUGAACGCUAGCGGGAUGCUUUACACAUGCAAGUCGAACGGCAGCGCGAGAGAGCUUGCUCUCUUGGCGGCGAGUGGCGGACGGGUGAGUAAUAUAUCGGAACGUGCCCAGUAGCGGGGGAUAACUACUCGAAAGAGUGGCUAAUACCGCAUACGCCCUACGGGGGAAAGGGGGGGAUCGCAAGACCUCUCACUAUUGGAGCGGCCGAUAUCGGAUUAGCUAGUUGGUGGGGUAAAGGCUCACCAAGGCAACGAUCCGUAGCUGGUUUGAGAGGACGACCAGCCACACUGGGACUGAGACACGGCCCAGACUCCUACGGGAGGCAGCAGUGGGGAAUUUUGGACAAUGGGGGAAACCCUGAUCCAGCCAUCCCGCGUGUAUGAUGAAGGCCUUCGGGUUGUAAAGUACUUUUGGCAGAGAAGAAAAGGUACCUCCUAAUACGAGGUACUGCUGACGNAUCUGCAGAAUAAGCACCGGCUAACUACGUGCCAGCAGCCGCGGUAAUACGUAGGGUGCAAGCGUUAAUCGGAAUUACUGGGCGUAAAGCGUGUGUAGGCGGUUCGGAAAGAAAGAUGUGAAAUCCCAGGGCUCAACCUUGGAACUGCAUUUUUAACUGCCGAGCUAGAGUAUGUCANAGGGGGGUAGAAUUCC
rnacentral:rRNA from 1 species